rnacentral:rRNA from 1 species
CCUACGGGCGACUGCAGUGAGGAAUAUUGGUCCAUGGACGAGAGUCUGAACCAGCCAAGUAGCGUGAAGGAUGACUGCCCUAUGGGUUGUAAACUUCUUUUAUAUGGGAAUAAAAUGUUCCACGUGUGGGAUUUUGUAUGUACCAUAUGAAUAAGGAUCGGCUAACUCCGUGCCAGCAGCCGCGGUAAUACGGAGGAUCCGAGCGUUAUCCGGAUUUAUUGGGUUUAAAGGGAGCGUAGGUGGAUUGUUAAGUCAGUUGUGAAAGUUUGCGGCUCAACCGUAAAAUUGCAGUUGAAACUGGCAGUCGUGAGUACAGUAGAGGUGGGCGGAAUUCGUGGUGUAGCGGUGAAAUGCUUAGAUAUCACGAAGAACUCCGAUUGCGAAGGCAGCUCACUGGACUGCAACUGACACUGAGGCUCGAAAGUGUGGGUAUCAAACAGGAGUAGAUACCCGAGUAGUC